CGGAGGAAAAGAAACCAACAGGGAUUGCCUUAGUAGCGGCGAGUGAAGCGGCAAAAGCUCAAAUUUGAAAUCUGGCACUUUCAGUGUCCGAGUUGUAAUUUGAAGAAGGUAUCUUUGGGUCUGGCUCUUGUCUAUGUUUCUUGGAACAGAACGUCACAGAGGGUGAGAAUCCCGUGCGAUGAGAUGUCCCAGACCUAUGUAAAGUUCCUUCGAAGAGUCGAGUUGUUUGGGAAUGCAGCUCUAAGUGGGUGGUAAAUUCCAUCUAAAGCUAAAUAUUGGCGAGAGACCGAUAGCGAACAAGUACAGUGAUGGAAAGAUGAAAAGAACUUUGAAAAGAGAGUGAAAAAGUACGUGAAAUUGUUGAAAGGGAAGGGCUUGAGAUCAGACUUGGUAUUUUGUAUGUUACUCUCUCGGGGGUGGCCUCUACAGUUUACCGGGCCAGCAUCAGUUUGAGCGGUAGGAUAAGUGCAAAGAAAUGUGGCACUGCUUCGGUAGUGUGUUAUAGUCUUUGUCGAUACUGCCAGCUUAGACUGAGGACUGCGGCUUCGGCCUAGGAUGUUGGCAUAAUGAUCUUAAGUCGCCCGUCUU
rnacentral:rRNA from 1 species